GACAAUUGGGUUUUGGAUCAGCUUUUCGAGGUGGGAAUGAACGACGGUAUCUGCAACACUGCCUUCUCAUCCACAAACGUCGACUCGGAGCUCUACAUCCCAAAAAAUUCCUCCAUUUUUCUGCUGUUUAUCCGAAGAAGCCAACCAAACGAAGUGAAUCGAAGCCACAGAUUUCCAGCAAUCUUGCUCCAUAAUUUGCGACUCCUAUCCGGUUUUUUGAUGUGGACAACUGAGUGUGCAUGGAAAUUAACCUCCUAAAAUAGAACUAAUGGAUUGAGUUGGGGGGUCAAAUUUCUGCAGAAAGAAGCACAUGAGGUUCACAGGUCAUCGAAAGGCUUGACGAGUGAUGGGAGUAUCUGCCACUGACUUCCAUGUCUGACUAAACUGGCUCGCUUAAAAUCAUCUUCCCAGACACUCUCAAAAGACCAAGUAGGAACUUUUGGACCUCCAUCGAUGCCAAAGACUUCAUCCGGUCCCAGUUGCUGUUUCUUUCGGGCAUCACUCAGUGUACGAGUUCACCAUACAACAGUCCAGAACAAUCUAAGAG